CCUACGGGGAGCUGCAGUGGGGAAUAUUGGACAAUGGGGGCAACCCUGAUCCAGCCAUGCCGCGUGUGUGAAGAAGGCCCUCGGGUUGUAAAGCACUUUCAGUGAGGAAGAACGCCUGGUGGUGAAUACCCAUCAGGAAAGACAUCACUCACAGAAGAAGCACCGGCUAACUCCGUGCCAGCAGCCGCGGUAAUACGGAGGGUGCGAGCGUUAAUCGGAAUUACUGGGCGUAAAGCGCGCGUAGGUGGCUUGAUAAGCCGGUUGUGAAAGCCCCGGGCUCAACCUGGGAACGGCAUCCGGAAAUGUCCAGCUAGAGGGCAGGAGAGGAAGGUAGAAUUCCCGGUGUAGCGGUGAAAUGCGUAGAGAUCGGGAGGAAUACCAGUGGCGAAGGCGGCCUUCUGGACUGACACUGACACUGAGGUGCGAAAGCGUGGGUAGCAAACAGGAUUAGAUACCCUUGUAGUC
rnacentral:rRNA from 1 species